CGAGCGACGGACGAGAAGCUUGCUUCUCUGAUGUUAGCGGCGGACGGGUGAGUAACACGUGGAUAACCUACCUAUAAGACUGGGAUAACUUCGGGAAACCGGAGCUAAUACCGGAUAAUAUUUUGAACCGCAUGGUUCAAAAGUGAAAGACGGUCUUGCUGUCACUUAUAGAUGGAUCCGCGCUGCAUUAGCUAGUUGGUAAGGUAACGGCUUACCAAGGCAACGAUGCAUAGCCGACCUGAGAGGGUGAUCGGCCACACUGGAACUGAGACACGGUCCAGACUCCUACGGGAGGCAGCAGUAGGGAAUCUUCCGCAAUGGGCGAAAGCCUGACGGAGCAACGCCGCGUGAGUGAUGAAGGUCUUCGGAUCGUAAAACUCUGUUAUUAGGGAAGAACAUAUGUGUAAGUAACUGUGCACAUCUUGACGGUACCUAAUCAGAAAGCCACGGCUAACUACGUGCCAGCAGCCGCGGUAAUACGUAGGUGGCAAGCGUUAUCCGGAAUUAUUGGGCGUAAAGCGCGCGUAGGCGGUUUUUUAAGUCUGAUGUGAAAGCCCACGGCUCAACCGUGGAGGGUCAUUGGAAACUGGAAAACUUGAGUGCAGAAGAGGAAAGUGGAAUUCCAUGUGUAGCGGUGAAAUGCGCAGAGAUAUGGAGGAACACCAGUGGCGAAGGCGACUUUCUGGUCUGUAACUGACGCUGAUGUGCGAAAGCGUGGGGAUCAAACAGGAUUAGAUACCCUGGUAGUCCACGCCGUAAACGAUGAGUGCUAAGUGUUAGGGGGUUUCCGCCCCUUAGUGCUGCAGCUAACGCAUUAAGCACUCCGCCUGGGGAGUACGACCGCAAGGUUGAAACUCAAAGGAAUUGACGGGGACCCGCACAAGCGGUGGAGCAUGUGGUUUAAUUCGAAGCAACGCGAAGAACCUUACCAAAUCUUGACAUCCUUUGACAACUUCUAGAGAAUAGAAGCCUUCCCCUUUCGGGGGA
rnacentral:rRNA from 1 species